rnacentral:rRNA from 1 species
UACGUAGGGUGCAAGCGUUGUCCGGAUUAUUGGGCGUAAAGAGCGUGUAGGCGGCCAUACAGGUCAGCUGUGAAAACUCGAGGCUCAACCUCGAGACGUCGGUUGAAACCGUAUGGCUAGAGUCCGGAAGAGGAGAGUGGAAUUCCCGGUGUAGCGGUGAAAUGCGCAGAUAUCGGGAAGAACACCCGUGGCGAAAGCGGCUCUCUGGAACGGUACUGACGCUGAGACGCGAAAGCGUGGGGAGCGAACAGG